AAUUUUAAUAGUUUAUAAAAAAAUGUUGAUUUUGUAAUUCAACGAAAUCUUUUAGAUUUAAAAU
rnacentral:tRNA from 1 species